rnacentral:rRNA from 1 species
UACAUGGGGUGCAAACGUUGUUCGGAAUUACUGGGCGUAAAGCGCACGUAGGCGGUUCGUUAAGUCAGAUGUGAAAGCCCCCGGCUCAACCGGGGAAGUGCAUCUGAAACUGGCGAGCUAGAGUACGAAAGAGGGUCGCGGAAUUCCCGGUGUAGAGGUGAAAUUCGUAGAUAUCGGGAGGAACACCGGUGGCGAAGGCGGCGACCUGGGUCGAUACUGACGCUGAGGUGCGAAAGCGUGGGGAGCAAACAGG